UACGAGGGGAGCAAGCGUUGUUCGGAUUUACUGGGCGUAAAGGGCGCGUAGGCGGUCGUGACAAGUCACUUGUGAAAUCUCCGGGCUUAACUCGGAACGGUCAAGUGAUACUGUCGGACUAGAGUGUGGUAGGGGAGACUGGAAUUCCUGGUGUAGCGGUGAAGUGCGCAGAUAUCAGGAGGAACACCGAUGGCGAAGGCAGGUCUCUGGGCCACUACUGACGCUGAGAAGCGAAAGCAUGGGGAGCGAACAGG
rnacentral:rRNA from 1 species